ACGAACGCUGGCGGCGUGCCUAAUACAUGCAAGUCGAGCGAAGUUUUUCUGGUGCUUGCACCGGAAAAACUUAGCGGCGACCGGGUGAGUAACACGUAAAGAACCUGCCUCAUAGACUGGGACAACUAUUGGAAACGAUAGCUAAUACCGGAUAAUAGCAUUAACUGCAUGGUUGAUGUUUAAAAGUUGGUUUUGCUAACACUAUGAGAUGGCUUUGCGGUGCAUUAGCUAGUUGGUGGGGUAAAGGCCUACCAAGGCGACGAUGCAUAGCCGACCUGAGAGGGUGAUCGGCCACACUGGGACUGAGACACGGCCCAGACUCCUACGGGAGGCAGCAGUAGGGAAUCUUCCGCAAUGGGCGAAAGCCUGACGGAGCAACGCCGCGUGGGUGAAGAAGGAUUUCGGUUCGUAAAGCUCUGUUGUUAGGGAAGAAUGAUUGUGUAGUAACUAUACACAGUAGAGACGGUACCUAACCAGAAAGCCACGGCUAACUACGUG
rnacentral:rRNA from 1 species